rnacentral:rRNA from 1 species
ACCUGCGGAAGGAUCAUUAACUAGUUUUGAAAGCGGGAGGAGUCUGUUGCUGGCGUGUGAGGGGGGUUUCUUCUUCUUCGCAUGCAUGUGCACGGCACCCUCGUUACUCAAUCCACUCAACCCCUGUGCACUUUAUGGGAGCUAGUAGUCAGUGGUUGUUCUGUUACGUUGUGUUCUUAGGUUAGUAGUCGAAAGGUGAACACUUGAGAGGCGUAUGGAGUAAUUGCCGGCGAACACUUCAAUAUUAUUACAAACCCAUUCUAUUGUCAUGUUGAAUGUAUAGCUCCUUGUGGGCGAAAUAAAAUACAACUUUCAACAACGGAUCUCUUGGCUCUCGCAUCGAUGAAGAACGCAGCGAAAUGCGAUAAGUAAUGUGAAUUGCAGAAUUCAGUGAAUCAUCGAAUCUUUGAACGCACCUUGCGCCCUUUGGUAUUCCGAGGGGCAUGCCUGUUUGAGUGUCAUGUUCAUCUCAACUUCCUUGUUUAUUACACUUGGAUGUUGGACUUGGAGGUAUUGCUGGCCCCUGCUCUAAGUCGUGGUCGGCUCCUCUUAAAUGUAUUAGCUGGGCUUUGGCUCGCGUUGACGGUGUAAUAAG